UACGGGGGGGGGGCAAGCGUUGUUCGGAAUUACUGGGCGUAAAGCGCACGUAGGCGGCUUUGCAAGUUAGAGGUGAAAGCCCGGGGCUCAACUCCGGAAUUGCCUUUAAAACUGCAUCGCUAGAAUUGUGGAGAGGUAAGUGGAAUUCCGAGUGUAGAGGUGAAAUUCGUAGAUAUUCGGAAGAACACCAGUGGCGAAGGCGACUUACUGGACACAUAUUGACGCUGAGGUGCGAAAGCGUGGGAGCAAACAGG
rnacentral:rRNA from 1 species